rnacentral:rRNA from 1 species
GACGAACGCUGGCGGCGUGCUUAACACAUGCAAGUCGAACGGAAAGGCCCUGCUUGCAGGGUACUCGAGUGGCGAACGGGUGAGUAACACGUGGGUGAUCUGCCCUGCACUUCGGGAUAAGCCUGGGAAACUGGGUCUAAUACCGGAUAGGAGCCAUUUUUAGUGUGAUGGUUGGAAAGUUUUUUCGGUGUAGGAUGAGCUCGCGGCCUAUCAGCUUGUUGGUGGGGUAAUGGCCUACCAAGGCGGCGACGGGUAGCCGGCCUGAGAGGGUGGACGGCCACAUUGGGUCUGAGAUACGGCCCAGACUCCUACGGGAGGCAGCAGUGGGGAAGAUUGCACAAGGGGCGCAAGCCUGAUGCAGCGACGCCGCGUGGGGGAUGACGGCCUUCGGGUUGUAAACUCCUUUCGCUAGGGACGAAGCUUUUUGUGACGGUACCUAGAUAAGAAGCACCGGCUAACUACGUG